rnacentral:pre_miRNA from 7 species
UUUAGGGGUUCCUGGGUGUCACGCAGAUCUUGGUGGGACCUCCAAAUGAAAGAACCCAGUGGGGAAACCCCCACUCAAUUCCUGUUAGGUGAGCACCCAAGAAUCACGAACAGACGA